rnacentral:rRNA from 1 species
GGACUACAAGGGUAUCUAAUCCUGUUUGCUACCCACGCUUUCGCGUCUCAGUGUCAGGAACGGCCCAGAAGGCCGCCUUCGCCACCGGUAUUCCUCCAAAUAUCUACGAAUUUCACCUCUACACUUGGAAUUCCACCUUCCUCUACCGUCCUCUAGCUAAGUAGUUUCGGAUGCACUUCCUCGGUUGAGCCGAGGGAUUUCACACCCGACUUACUUAACCACCUACACGCGCUUUACGCCCAAUGAUUCCGAACAACGCUAGCACCCUACGUAUUACCGCGGCUGCUGGCAC